rnacentral:rRNA from 1 species
AGCGAACGCUGGCGGCGUGCCUAACACAUGCAAGUCGAACGUGAAAAGGGAAACCUGAGUAAAGUGGCGUACGGGUGAGUAACGCGUAGGUAAUCUACCCCAGAAUCUGGAAUAACCUGCCGAAAGGCGGGCUAAUACUGGAUAGAGCGAGGGAUCUCGUAAGAGAGUUUUUCGGGAAAGGGAGCCCGCAAGGGCCUUCGUUCUGGGAUGAGCCUGCGUCUCAUUAGCUAGUUGGUAAGGUAACGGCUUACCAAGGCGAGGAUGAGUAGCUGGCCUGAGAGAGGGUCAGGCCAACUGGGAACGAAACACCGGCCAGAACCCUUAGGGAGGGAGCAGUGGGGAAUCUUGCGGCAAGGAGGAAAGGCUGACGCAGCCACGCCGCGGGAGGGAAGAAGGGCCUCGGGUUGUAAAGAUCUGUCGAAUGGGACGAACAUAUUCAUAGUGAAUAGCUAUGAGGACUGACGGUACCAAAAAAGGAAGCACCGGCUAACUCCGUG